rnacentral:tRNA from 1 species
GCGCGGCGCCGACCGCGGGCCGGUCGUCGGGCUGGUGCCGCGGCUCGGCGUCCGCGCGCCGGUCCGGAUCGCCGCCGGGCCGCAUC